CAGCAGCCACGGGAAUACGUAGGUGGCAAGCGUUGUCCGGAAUUAUUGGGCGUAAAGGGCUCGCAGGCGGUUUCUUAAGUCUGAUGUGAAAGCCCCCGGCUCAACCGGGGAGGGUCAUUGGAAACUGGGAAACUUGAGUGCAGAAGAGGAGAGUGGAAUUCCACGUGUAGCGGUGAAAUGCGUAGAGAUGUGGAGGAACACCAGUGGCGAAGGCGACUCUCUGGUCUGUAACUGACGCUGAGGAGCGAAAGCGUGGGGAGCGAACAGGAUUAGAUACUCCAGUAGUCCCUGUCUCUUAUAC
rnacentral:rRNA from 1 species